GGACAGACUGACGGACCGACAGACAGACAGAAAUCGCCACAACAUAAUCCCUCUUUGGGCCUUCGGCUAGCAGGGGAUAAAAA